ACUACGUAGCUGUUUGAUAAAUGCGGAUGAAGGCUACGCGUGGAAAACGUGUUUACAUUCACCAGUCGUUGUGUUCCAAAAUUACGGAGGGAAUAGUUAUCCAAUUUCUUUCAUUCACGAGCAGGGAGGUGUUGCUUUGUUGACGCUACAGGGAAGUUUCCUGGUUUAAAGAAAGUUGUGGCUAUAGGCAACAGCUACUUCAACAAGCUUUGCAUGAAAUCGUGCGUGUGUAACUUAGUUCUAGUGUGAGUGUGUGAUAUUGUACUCUGCAGUAUUUACGAAGAGACUGGUUGGUUUAUAGUUUUGUUUAUGUAAAUGAAAAAUGUAAAGUUGUGUGUAGUAGUGAGACAAAAGCCUUUCAUACAUUUAUUUAAGGUUGUCUGUUGUCUGUUUGAAGGUGUGUCUGCAAAGCUCUGAAACGUUUUGUCAUUUUUGUCUCUUCUGCUCUGGAUAAGGUGGACUUCUCUCCUCUGACCUGUUACCAAGACAGCUGGGUGUGUAGGAAACUGGAACUAAGUCACUGAAGAAGUAAACCGAUGAAAACCGAUUUGGAUUGUCUGAGAGAUCUGUAGGACACAAGUAAGAGGAGAAGAAUGCUGCUCAGCUGGGUCGGCGUCGGCCACACUACUUAUUCAAGAAGCCCUUGGAUAUCAUCGGCAUGUAUGAAGCACAGUCAUUCCGGUAGUCCGUUCCUCGAUGGACGUGAUGACCUGGCACCAAAACCGCUUAAAGUGUAUGGAGCUGUGUCUGCAUCGAGGAAAGAACGCGGCACUGAAAUGACAAGAGGACUACUGCUCUACUGGGUCUGUGACACUACUUAUCCGAGGAGUCCUCAAACAUCAGGAUGUAGGAAGACACAAGUAAAAGGAGAAGAAUGCUGUUCAGCUGGGUCGGCGGCCACACUACUUAUUCAAGAAGCUCUUGGAUAUCAUCGGCAUGUAUGAAGUCCACUGAUGCCAAGCUGCUAAGGACCCCCACCCCCCCGCAGAAGAAGAUCGGCGACGCCGCGUUUGCCUGCUAUGCGCCCAAGAGAUGGAACGCCCUCCCCAUCGAGAUCGGAUCAGCCACCUCCGUCGACUCCUUCAAGAAGCAGCUGAAGACCCACCUCUUCAUCCUUGCCAACUCCUAGCUGCCAAGGCGUCAUAGUGUCCCAGCUGCCGCAGCGCCCUUACUACUCGCAACCAGCCCUGGCAGGGGGCUCCCCUAGGUGGCCGCUGGUCUCUGCCUGAGGUUUCUUCCUGACUAUAGGGGGUCUUUUUUCUCAGACCUCACUGAGCUUUUUUUCCCCCCCUUACAAACUAUGAAUCAAGCGAAAGGGAGUUUUUCCUCACCCCUGAUGCCACCAGGGGCCGCACCUGAGCGCCCAAUCUCUGUGUGACUAUCUAUGACUUAUGAUAGGCCCAGCCACUAUGGACCUUACACAUCUAAGAAUCCUGGUCCUAACCUACGUUGACCUUAUGACUCUACAUUCUCUGUCUAUCUCUUCUUCCUCUGCCUUCCUGCUAUAU